GGCCGGUUGGCCCAAUGGCAAGGCGUCUGACUACGACUCAUGCUCUCACUUGAGAUCAUAGAUCGUGUAAUCAGGAGAUUCUGGGUUCGACCCCCAGGCUGGUCA
rnacentral:tRNA from 1 species